rnacentral:rRNA from 1 species
ACGAACGCUGGCGGCGUGCUUAACACCUGCAAGUCGAACGGUGAAGCGCCUUCCUUUUUGGUGGGUGUGGAUGAGUGGCGAACGGGUGAGUAACACGUGAGUAACCUGCCCCCUUCUUCUGGAUAACCGCAUGAAAGUGUGGCUAAUACGGGAUAUUCUGGGUCUGUCGCAUGAUGGGUCUGGGAAAGAUAUUGUUUCGGUGGGGGAUGGGCUCGCGGCCUAUCAGCUUGUUGGUGGGGUGAUGGCCUACCAAGGCGGUGACGGGUAGCCGGCCUGAGGGGGUGGACGGUCACACUGGGACUGAGACACGGCCCAGACUCCUACGGGAGGCAGCAGUGGGGAAUAUUGCACAAUGGGCGCAAGCCUGAUGCAGCGACGCCGCGUGAGGGAUGGAGGCCUUCGGGUUGUGAACCUCCUUCGCCAGUGAAGCAGGCCUGCCUCGUUUGUGGGUGGGUUGACGGUAGCUGGAUAAGAAGCGCCGGCUAACUACGUG